AACGAACGCUGGCGGCAUGCCUAACACAUGCAAGUCGAACGAUCCCUUCGGGGAUAGUGGCGCACGGGUGCGUAACGCGUGGGAACCUGCCCUUAGGUUCGGAAUAACUCAGAGAAAUUUGAGCUAAUACCGGAUAAUGUCUUCGGACCAAAGAUUUAUCGCCUUUGGAUGGGCCCGCGUUGGAUUAGCUAGUUGGUGGGGUAAAGGCCUACCAAGGCGACGAUCCAUAGCUGGUCUGAGAGGAUGAUCAGCCACACUGGGACUGAGACACGGCCCAGACUCCUACGGGAGGCAGCAGUGGGGAAUAUUGGACAAUGGGCGAACGCCUGAUCCAGCAAUGCCGCGUGAGUGAUGAAGGCCUUAGGGUUGUAAAGCUCUUUUACCCGGGAUGAUAAUGACAGUACCGGGAGAAUAAGCCCCGGCUAACUCCGU
rnacentral:rRNA from 1 species